CAAAGACGCGGACAGAAGCCGUCGGGGUGGGAUCACCGAGCGGACCUUCUCUGGAGGUCAGAGGUCUUUUCGGCGCGGCUGACCGAGAACUUACUGAGAAGGAGGAUUUUCCGACAGUCGCUCGGGAGCCCCGAAUCUGCGAGGACCAAGGUAGCGCUGCUGUUCCCUCAAAGACGUUGCCUUGUUUGUACCGCUCUCUGUUUUUACCUUGAGGUGGCUUGGGUCCUUUUUUGCCUCUGCACGUUCCGAAAACCGGGUUCCGGCGUUGCUCGUCUCGGAGAAAAUUUGUGGAUAGUCUGAUCAGCAAAGGCUGAAAUGAUGAAAAGUUGCCUUAUUUUAACUACGGUCUUACUUUAAAAGAGAGUUUUCUUCAGAGCUGGAACUUGGGUCACUUCCGAUCCUGAAGAUAACAAUCGCCCGCCGUUUGGAGAUGUUAAAUUGAGCUUGAGUGCUAAAGCUUGCUGCUUGGUCCUGAUGUUUGUGCAGGAAUAGAAACCCUGACUAUGACAGUAUGAAAUGACAAGAAUCCUAGGAAUGCCCUUCCUCCACGAAUUCAACAGAAGCCCAGAUCUGUAGCAGCUGGAACAGAGGCCCGUUCUCCAACUGCUCAGCAUGGACUUCAGGGGAUAUCAGCAACAGAUAUUGCCCAUUGGGAUGCUUGUGUACUUUGAAGACAGUGGCAAACAGUUUGGAGCACUUGUGUUAAGAAAAUAGAGUUCAUAUCAAACUCACAUCUACACAGUGUGAACAGCGUAAGAGGCAAGGGGUGUCUAUGGAGUGGAUUCGUGCCGGCACGCCCGAAAAAUCCUCUGCAUUUCUCUGUCAGUGAGAUUGAAAACAUGAGAAUUUAUGACCUAUUUCCUCUAAAAUCAGAGAAUAAAAAAAUACAAAAUUGAAUUUAAAUCACAUCCUAUUAUUUCAAAAACUGUACAGAACCUGACCUGAUCUCUCUCUCUCUGCCUCUCUUUCUCUGUCUCUGUCUCUGUCUCUCUCUCUCUGUAUUUUUUUGAGACACAGACUCUCCUGGUGUUACAGAACUCACUCUGUGGACCUUGCUGGCGCACUAAAACUCAUAGAUAUCCACCUGCUUCUGCCUUCCAAGUGCUGGUAGGAUCUGAAUUUUUGAUCAUUUAAAAUACAAACUGAAGAAAAAAAGUCAAGAGGUAUCUAUUAAUUAAUUAACUAACCUGUUAACAGAGUAAUUAGCAGUAACGCUGACGGGACAAAGCAGAAGCUUGGUCAACUACAUUUGUGAACAAAGUGCUCCUUCCUUCCAGGCUUCUAACCAGAACCAUGUAGGCCUCGGCCUGGAAGAAAGCUUGCCAGGCAGAUAGAAGGCUCCGGGUCCAAACAACCAACCAACCACAAACAGCAGCAGCGAUGAACAGCAAAACAUAAAACAAGAAAAAAACAGUACACAAAAAUCAUUACUGUUCUGUACAACAACACGAAUGUGCAGAGUUAGAAAUCACAAGACUCCAUCCAACUCACAGUUGUCUGAAAACACACACACACACACACACACAUGCCCUCAUAAAAAGCAAGCAAGCACCCAAACAAACCAAGAAAGAAACAAUACCCUAGAAAUAAACCUAACUAAGGCGGAACAAGGCUCUGCCACGAGACCAUGAAGUGAUGGGUGUAAGAAGCCUAAGAUGGGAAGACGUCCCGUGCUCACGGAGUGGCAGAAUUAGCACUGCAAAGAUUAAAAGCAAUCUGCAGAUUUGACUGCAAUCCCUAUCAAAUUCCAAUGUCAUUUUUCAUAGAAACUGAAACAAAUUGAUUCUAAAGUCCACAUGGAAGCACAAAAGACCCGGAUUAGAAAGAACAAUGCUGUAUUCCAAAUUCUACUAUAGACCCCUAAUCAUAAAAACAGCAUUGCACUGCAUGGAAACUUCAAAAGAACAGACUCCAACUAAUAAAUAGGCAAGUAAACUGACCAGAGGAGUAGGACGCAGGACCAUAAAUAAAUAGACUCAUGCAGCUACAGUCAUCUGACAAAGGUUCUGGUUUGCUGUCUGUUGCUGUGAUAAAGAAAGUUCCUGAGUCACAGUCCACUGAGGGAGACAAAGGCAGGAAUUCAAGAAGGGCAGGAGCCUGAAGGCAGGGACUGAGGCGGAGGCCAUGGAGGAGUACUGCUUACUGGCUUGCUCUGUUUGGUUUCUUAUAUAACUCAGGUCCGCUUGUCCACUUGCCCACCUCCAGCAAGCUGGGCUCUCCACAUCAACCACCAAUAAAAAGAAAUGCUCCUAAGACUUUCCUACAGGCCAAUCUGAUGGGAGCAUUUUCUCAAUUGAAGUUCUCUCUUCUCAGAUGACUACAGUUUGUGUCAAGCUGACAAAAAAGAUUUAAAAAAAAAAAAACCCAACCAAAUCAAACAACAGCAAAAACAAAAACAAAACAAAACCCAUUUGAAAUAGUGCCAAAAACAUACAAUGCAGAAGGCAGUCUCUCUCUCUCUCUCUCUCUCUCUCU